rnacentral:lncRNA from 10 species
CUCUAUUGAGCAGUAAAGAGAGACAGAGAGAGAGAAGAAAGAAGAAACAACAGUCUGGAAGUAGCUUUUUGUCUGUCACCACUAUUCACUAUUGAGAUGGUAACUAUAGUGUUGAACAUGGCUAGGAACACAUCAACUGCUGAUCAAUGGAGAAGAGGCCUAAGGAAGAG